rnacentral:rRNA from 1 species
UGGCGGACGGGUGAGUAACGCGUGGGCAACCUGCCCCGUGCCGGGGGAUACCGCCUGGAAACAGGCGCUAAUACCGCAUAAGCGCAUACAGCCGCAUGGCAGUAUGCGGAAAGCUCCGGCGGCACGGGAUGGGCCCGCGCCCGAUUAGCCAGUUGGCGGGGUAACGGCCCACCAAAGCGACGAUCGGUAGCCGGCCUGAGAGGGCGGACGGCCACAUUGGGACUGAGACACGGCCCAAACUCCUACGGAAGGCAGCAG